rnacentral:rRNA from 1 species
UACGUAGGGACCAAGCGUUGUUCGGAUUUACUGGGCGUAAAGGGCGCGUAGGCGGCGUGUCAAGUCAAUUGUGAAAUCUCCGAGCUUAACUCGGAACGGUCAAUUGAUACUGAUGUGCUAGAGUGCAGAAGGGGCAAUCGGAAUUCUUGGUGUAGCGGUGAAAUGACGUAGAUAUCAAGAGGAACACCUUGAGGUGAAGACGGGUUGCUGGGCUGACACUGACGCUGGAGGCGCGAAAGCAUGGGGAGCGAACAGG